rnacentral:rRNA from 1 species
AUUACGGGGUGCAGCAGGCGCGAAACCUCCACAAUGCGCGAAAGCGUGAUGGGGUUAGCCCGAGUGCUGUCCGAAAAGGAUGGCUUUUCCUUGGCGUAAAAACCCAGGGGAAUAAAGGGGGGGCAAGACUGGUGUCAGCCGCCGCGGUAAUACCAGCCCCCUGAGUGGUAAGGACGAUUAUUUGGCUUAAAGCGUCCGUAGCCGGCUUAGUGAGUCUCUUGUUAAAUCCAAUGAUUCAAUCAUUGAACUGCAAGAGAUACUACUAUGCAAGAGGACGGGAGAGGUCGACGGUAGUCCAGGGGUAGGGGUGAAAUCCUAUAAUCCUUGGAGGACCACCAGUGGCGAAGGCGGUCGACUAGAACGUGCCUGACGGUGAGGGACGAAAGCUGGGGGAGCGAACCGGAUUAGAUACCCGGGUAGUCCCAGCUGUAAACGAUGCGGGCUAGGUGUAGGGGCAGCUACGGGCUGCUCCUGUGCCGCAGAGAAAUUGUUAAGCCCGCCGCCUGGGGAGUACGAUCGCAAGAUUGAAGCUUAAAGGAAUUGGCGGGGGAGCACAAU